rnacentral:rRNA from 1 species
AACGAACGCUGGCGGCAGGCCUAACACAUGCAAGUCGAGCGAGGACUUCGGUUCUAGCGGCGGACGGGUGAGUAACGCGUGGGAAUGUGCCCUUCUCUACGGAAUAGCCCUGGGAAACUGGGAGUAAUACCGUAUACGCCCUUUUGGGGAAAGAUUUAUCGGAGAAGGAUCAGCCCGCGUUGGAUUAGGUAGUUGGUGGGGUAAUGGCCUACCAAGCCGACGAUCCAUAGCUGGUUUGAGAGGAUGAUCAGCCACACUGGGACUGAGACACGGCCCAGACUCCUACGGGGGGAGGCAGGGGGGAAUCUAAGAAAAGGGGGGAACCCCGGAUGUAGCCGGGCGGUGGGAGUGUUGAGGGCGUUGGGGUUGAAAGGCUCUUUCAGCUGGGAAGAUAAUGACGGUACCAGAAAAAGAAGCCCCGGCUAACUCCGUG